UGGGGAAUAUUGGACAAUGGAGGAAACUCUGAUCCAGCAAUUCUGUGUGUGUGAAGAAGGUUUUAGGACCGUAAAACACUUUUAGUAGGGAAGAAAAAAAUGACGGUACCUACAGAAGAAGCAACGGCUAAAUACGUGCCAGCAGCCGCGGCAAUACGUAUGUUGCGAGCGUUAUCCGGAAUUAUUGGGCUUAAAGGGCAUCUAGGCGGUAAGACAAGUUGAAGGUGAAAACCUGUGGCUCAACCAUAGGCUUGCCUACAAAACUGUUGAACUAGAGUACUGGAAAGGUGGGUGGAACUACACGAGUAGAGGUGAAAUUCGUAGAUAUGUGUAGGAAUGCCGAUGAUGAAGAUAACUCACUGGACAGAAACUGACGCUGAAGUGCGAAAGCUAGGGGAGCAAACAGG
rnacentral:rRNA from 1 species